rnacentral:lncRNA from 1 species
AGCAUUUACUUUAUUUGUUCCGGGUUGGAAAGAUCUUCUAUCCAUUUUUGUUAAUGACCUAUAAAUUGAAAGAGAUCACUCAUAAACUUUUGUUAGCCACCUGAAACUAGUGGCUACAGAUACUUUUGGAAAAACAGAAAGAAAGUUCUUUAAAAAAAAAAAAAGAUAACAAGAAAAACAUUAUUCAUAUAUAAAUAUAUUGCAACAUGGCGUCGAUCGACUUGGCUUUCAUUACAAAUGCUUCACGGAAGUGAUGAAUGAGAGAAUGAAAAGGAAAUGUUAUAUACUUAAAAUGGUGGUUAAUAGAGAAGAUAGAGUUCACCAAAUAGCAUGUGUUCUAUAACACAUGCUUUUUCUGUCUAUAUUCGACGGAUGAAAUAUGGGUUACUCUUGUACUUUUGUAGGAAGGAAUCCCAUAUAAGCAUGUGGGGAGGAGCUCUAUCUAUGUUAUCUAUUUUGUGUAAGAGCGUACCUUGUGGUUGUACUUGGGGAAAAUAUAUAUGUGGUUCUAUUGUUCGAGGAGGAAAAGAAAGAGAACUUUAUGUUAAAAGGGUUUGAAAGAUGGCUAUUUUAUAAGCAAAAACAAGGAAUUAGGUUUUAUAGUAUAUUGUAUGUGAAGAAUUCAUUGUUGGUUACGAUCAGUAAAGCGUAUAUAUCUUGAUAAGUUUUAUAGUGCAUGGGCUAUUUAAUCUAGUUAUGAGUUAGUGAGAGAAUAAUAUUAUAUAUAUAUAUAUAUAAACUAUCAAAUUCAUAUUCUGUACUUAUAAUUUACUUCUGUCUGUCACCUAAUUUUUACGAUCUAAAAGAAUCUAAACAAACCAUUUCUGUAAAAGAUAUAUAUAUAGCAGUAGUAUACAUCACUCUCGAAAGCCACUAUAGUAAAGCAAUCAACAGAGGUUCCUAAGUAGUAGUUAAGUUAAAAGUUAUUGGGUGCAGUCCUUAAAUAUGCAUUAUAAACAUCGAUUGGCUUAAAAUGUAUGGGCAACUUGUAUAUAUUCUCAUGAUUGUAUGAUGAAAAAAAAUUGUUCAUAUACGAAAUGAUGUUUGAAUCCAAUAUAUAUAUGAAGGUGACAUAAGAGUGAUGCCACAUAUCACGUACCUAUACAACAUAUUAAAUAUAUUAUAUAUAUUGAGAACUUGACAAGCAUAUUCAGAUAUAUGCACAGUAAAAAAUUACAUAACAUAAAAGGAGGAAAGUACAGAUACAAUGUAAAGGGGCCAAAAGGGUACCUUUUUGAAUUGAAAGAUCAUCAACAGAGACCUGACAGUAACAACCCUCUUCCUCUCUUCUUCCUUCAGUCUUCCCCCUCCGCCCCCAACUUUCGGUUAGAGCCUUACGGAGAAGACUUGGACAGUUGGACCUCUGUCUCUCUCUCUCUCUCCCCCAGCGAUGGAUAGAAAGAAAAGAAAUAAUGAUAGAUAGCAUCAGACCAUCUCCACGUGGGAUAACGAUAUGGCCCCCACAUAUUGACAAGGAAGUCUUCUGAAGUUUAUGGUUCCCACUGGAAGAUUACUUUGACCUUUUGGAGAAGGGGAAAGAUGGGAGUUGAAGAAAUCAACGUGGCGCAGAGAUAAAGUCUCUGAGCAGAGAGCACUAUGGUGGAGUCCAGUUGUGUAUUUGCAUAUGUUCUUCUCCCCUCCCUCUACUGCUUUUGUAGCCCAGUUGUAUACCAAUAUUCGUGGUGUACUCUUUCAUAUAAUUUC